AGCUAAUAGAUACCCAGGUAGUCCCGGCUGUAAACGGUGCAUAUUUGCUGUAAAAGGAAUCGACCCCUUUUGUGGCGUAGCCAAACGCGAUAAAUAUGCCGCCUGGGAAGUACGGUCGCAAGAUUAAAACUCAAAGAAAUUGACGGGGGCCUGCACAAGCGGUGGAGUAUGUGGCUUAAUUCGAUGCAACGCGAAGAACCUUACCUGGCCUUGACAUGCAUCUGGUAGGACCGUGGAAGCGGAACGACCCGCAAGGGGAGGAUGCACAGGUGCUGCAUGGCUGUCGUCAGCUCGUGUCGUGAGAUGUUGGGUUAAGUCCCGCAACGAGCGCAACCCUUGUGUCCUGUUGCCACCCCUCGAGAGAGGGAGCACUCUGGACAGACUGCCUCGCUUAAACGAGGAGGAAGGUGGGGAUGACGUCAAGUCAGUAUGGCCCUUACGGCCAGGGCGUGCACACGUACUACAAUGCCCGACACAGAGGGAAGCAAGGCCGCAAGGCGGAGCAAAUCUCAGAAAAUCGGGCCCAGUUC
rnacentral:rRNA from 1 species